rnacentral:rRNA from 1 species
CUACGGGAUGCAGCAGUGGGGAAUAUUGGGCAAUGGGCGCAAGCCUGACCCAGCAACGCCGCGUGAGGGAAGAAGGUUUUCGGAUUGUAAACCUCUGUCCUUGGGGACGAAGAAGUGACGGUACCCAAGGAGGAAGCUCCGGCUAACUACGUGCCAGCAGCCGCGGUAAUACGUAGGGAGCAAGCGUUGUCCGGAAUUACUGGGCGUAAAGGGUGCGUAGGCGGCAUAUUAAGUCAGGUGUGAAAUACUCGGGCUCAACCCGGGGGCUGCAUUUGAAACUGAUAUGCUUGAGUGUGAGAGAGGAAAGUGGAAUUCCUAGUGUAGCGGUGGAAUGCGUAGAUAUUAGGAGGAACACCAGUGGCGAAGGCGACUUUCUGGCUCAUAACUGACGCUGAGGCACGAAAGCGUGGGGAGCAAACAGGAUUAGAUACCCUCGUAGUC